GACGAACGCUGGCGGCAUGCCUAACACAUGCAAGUCGAACGAAACGGUCGGGUCUCGUUGGGGACUUGUGGGUAACGGGGGGGAAAAUGGCCGUGGAAUAGGAAUGUCAGCUGGAAACAACUGCUAAUAAAGGCUGGUAAAGUAAGUCCAAUGGUUUAUAGCCCAGGGAUGAGCCCGCGUAGGAUUAGCACGUUGGUGCGGUGACGGGUGACCAAGGCGCCGACUCUUAGCUGGUCGGUGAGGAUGAGCCGCCACACUGGGACUGAGACACGGCCGAGACUCCGACGGGAGGCAGCAGUGGGGAAUAUUGGACCAUGGGCGAAAGCCGGAUCCAGCAAUGCCGCGUGUUUGAUGAAGGCCUUAGGGUUGUAAAGCCCUUUUAGUCGGGAUGAUAAUGACAGUACUGGGAGAAGAAGCUCCGGCUAACUCCGUG
rnacentral:rRNA from 1 species